UGAAACAAAUCAGGGCGUAUUACUUUCAAUGUAAACAGUAAUUAACGGUACAGUAUGAAUGAUAAUUAUACUAUUGAAACUACAACCAAAGGGUGACAAAGUUGUAAAAGGUGCUCAGCAGUUAAAGUGAGACCUGUCAGCUGAGGGUAAAAUAAUGAUGAUUCCAUCUAGUGAAACAAACCCUGAGUCUUUGACCAUAUCACAAGUAAAACUUAUCAAUCACAUCGUGCUGACAUACUUUCUUGGAGCAUAUACCAUGUGUAGAGUGAUGAAUAGAACUGAAAAGGCGAUCAACGUUC